rnacentral:rRNA from 1 species
GAUUUCUGGUUUAAUGCACCUGGCCCGCGGCCAAUAGGCUUGUGAGUGCCGGCGCGCGUUUACCAUCCUUCUAGAAAACGAUUCUGCCAUUCACUUGGUUGGGACCGCGAUCUAGAUCUUUUACUUUGAAAAAAUUAGAGUGUUUAAAGCAGGCUUUUGCUAUGAAUACAUUAGUUUCUAUAACUGAAGUAAUGAUUGAUAGGGAUAGUUGGGGGUGCUAGUAUUGGCCGGCCAGAGGUGAAAUUCUUGGAUUCGGUCAAGACUAACUUAUGCGAAAGCAUU